rnacentral:lncRNA from 1 species
GCGCCCCUCCCCCAGCCUCGCUGCCGCCUUGCAGUUUGAUCUCAGACUGCUGUGCUAGCAGUCAGCGAGACUCUGUGGGCUAGGACCCUCCGAGCCAGGUGCGGGAUAUAAUCUCGUGGUGCGCCGUUUUUUAAGCCCGUCAGAAAAGCACAGUAUUCGGGUGGGAGUGACCCGAUUUUCCUGGUGCCCUCCGUCACCCCUUUCUUUGACUAGGAAAGGGAACUCCCUGACCCCUUGCACUUCCUGAGUGAGGCAAUGCCUCACCUUGCUUCGGCUCGCCCACGGUGCGCACACCCACUGACCUGCGCCCACUGUCUGGCACUCCCUGGUGAGAUGAACCUGGUACCUCAGAUGGAAAUGCAGAAAUCACCCGUCUUCUGCGUCACUCACGCUGGGAGCUGUAGACCGGAGCUGUUCCUAUUCGGCCAUCUUGGCUCCUCCCCGUCUUUCUACUAUUUUUUGACUUAAAGAUUGUUUUAUUGCAGUGGCCAAUUCUUGGAUGAGAACCAGGUAUCGCCUGGCUGAGAGGACGGCAGUCAUUACUGGGAACCGAGGACUUUCUCAGAAGCCUGAGGAGGAUCAGGUGCAGCAUUCGUCCGAGUCCUGAAAUAACUGGCUUCCUGACUACAAGGUGUGGACAUAUGGCAGCCAGGAAAGAGAUUGAUGGAAAUGGUCUCCGAUGUCUGGGCAGAGCUUUUCUAGUCUUCUCUGAGAAGAACAACAUUCUUGGUAGACCACAGGCCUGGCUGUAAAACCCUGUGCAUGGAAAGGAUGAAGAACCAGAUGAGAGGAUGUGUCAAUAACACCCUGUAUUCAUUUUCUGUUGCUGCUGUAACAAAUUACCACAAACUUUGUGGCUUAAAACUACACAAAUUUAUUCUCUUACAGUUCUAGAAGUCAGAAGUCCUCUGUCUGCUUCACUGGGCUAAAGUCAAGGGGUGAUCAAGACUGGUGGUUCCUUCUAGAGGCCUGAGGGCAUAAUCCAUUACUUUGACUCUUCCAAUUGCUGGUGGCAGCCUGUAUUCCUUAGCUUGUGGUCUCCUUCUUCAUCUUCAAAGAGCACCACUCCAAUCUCUACUUCCAUGGUUACAUCUUCUUUGACUCUGACCCUUCUGGGUCCCUCUUAAAAGGACCUGGUGAUGACAUUGGGUCCAUCUGGAUAAUCCAAGAUAACCUCCCCAUCUCGAGGUCUUUACUUUAAUCAUAUAUAUAAAGACCCAUUUGACAUAUAAGGCAACAUUCAUAGGUUCCAGGGAUUAGGACUUAGACAUUUUUGUAUUUGGGAAGACUACCACAAAACACACUCUGAAUUUUUUUAAUAGAAUAUAAGGAUUUAAUUGAAUUUUACAGAAUUAUUUCUAAAAACAACAUACCCUUUAAUCACUAGCAGAAGAGCAAGAGAAAGAGCUGACUAUAGAUUAAGAGCAAAAUGGCAUCUUCAAAACAUACAGAAUGAUUUGAGAUCAAUUAACUGCAUUUCAGUUUCUUUUCUUUUCGUUUCUUUUCUUCUUUUUUUUUUUUUUUUUGAGACAGAGUUUCACUGUUGUUGCCCAGGCUAGAAUGCAGUGGCACAAUCUUGGCUCACCGCAACCUCUGCACCCCAGUUCAAGCGAUUCUCCUGCUUCAUCCUAACUGAGUAGCUGGGAUUACAGGCAUGUGCCACCACACCUGGCUAAUUUUGUAUUUUUAGUAGAGACAGGGUUUCUCCAUGUUGGUCAGGCUGGUCUCAAACUCCUGACCUCAGGAGAUCUGCCCACUUUGGCCUCCCAAAAUGCUGGGAUUACCGGCGUGAGCCACUGUGCCCAGCCUGCAUUUCAGUUUCUUAAUGACCAAUUUAUUUAACUUUAAAUUUUUACUAAAUAAUAUUCAACUUGUUUCAUUUAAUGAUUCAAAUGUCAUUUUCCUAUUUUUCAAUCCUUAGUAUCAUUUUGCAAAUUUCUUAAAUGGUUUAUCAGUCUUAAUUUUAAGCUUCUAGCAAUUAAAACUUUAAAUUAAAUUGUAUUAAGUCAAAUUAGAUUAAAAUAGUAAAGGCUUAAGAUAAAAGGAUGAAAUUUCAACUGCGUAUUUUCAGGUAAGCAACAGCAAAUGAGAUGUUUUUAAAUUAAAGUUUAAAAUUUGAACUCAAAACCACCUGAAAAAAUUAGUUAUAUCUCCAAACUAUUCUGUAAGAAAUUAUGGACAUUUAAAAUUUCUCACAAGAACAAAUUUGAGAUAAAACAAGCCAAGGAAGCAAAAAGGAAGUAAGGGUGCCCAGAAGAUUGUAUUAUAAUUAUUUUCAUGACCAAUGCCUCAAGUUUGAUAUUCACCAAGUGUAAAUCCAAAACUGUCAUAAAAGGGUUUUGUUUUAAUGGCUUAAAAAAUCCUAAAAAUACUGAAAAGACUGGUAAACUGAUAAACUGGAAGCUACAGGAUCAACAACAUCACAAGUAAAUAUGAAUUAAGUUGUUAGAAAAGUUAGAUUGAUAAAGGAAAUUCCUAGAAUAUAGUGCCCCAAUUUGAGAAAUUGGCAGAAUAAUAAGAGGUAUGCUAAAAUGUUGGCAAAACCAAAAAGACAUGAAAGAAAUCAGUAUAAACUGAAAAUUUCUUGUAGGAAACAAACACUGAUUUUUUGGUUAUGGGAUGAUUUUUGAAUUUUGAAUACGUUUUGAAAACACUUAAAGACUUCUUUAAAUGCUGCUACAAAGACAAAAUAAAACCUCGUCAAUGAAAACUGUAGAAAUUCUCCAAAACUACUAAAACUGUUCCAUUGGAGACAAGUCACUAUAUGUUUAUAAAUAAGAUAAGCAAAGUUUUUUUUUAAAUAACAUGUUAAAUUUGAUGAAUUGAUGACAAAUUGUUUUUUGGUAAACUGGUCUUUCAGUUGCUUGUGCUUGGGUAAGCUGCCCUGCUUCUCCUGGUGAGUGGGGUUUAUAGUGAAGACGCCAGGCUACCCAGUGGCACUGAAAGAGGUGGCAAAACCAAUUGUUUCUCUCUUCUCACUGCCUGGGCCCUGUUGCUGGUGAAUUCAAGUUGCCUGGAGACUGUCUCACUGGGGAUCUGGUGUUUUCCUACAAUAAAACUUCUCACUCCAGGGUCCUCUCCCAUCCGAGGCAUGCGUCUAGCAUAUCUCUAACAGUCUGUGCAUUUGUGAUUUAUGUGAUUUCAACCAAACCUUAAGGCUCUUGGGCAGCGGCUAUGCCUUAUCUUUCUCUUUCCAGACCCAAACCUGGUGCCUGGCACAUUAUACGUGAGUAAAGGAUGACUGUUUAAUAAAUGGAUGAAUGUGGGAAGGACUUUUUUAAAAAUGUGUUAUUUUUCCAGGAGUUUAUUUCUGACCCCUUCCUUGUGAAUCCAGUGCCCCUGUGCUUCCCUCUAUGAUGAGUGAGACGGGUCUCAAUCUAUUUAGAGGUUUAUUUUGCCAAGGAUGAGGACAUGCUCGGGAAAUAGAGACACAAGCCACAGUAAAAUCUGUGCACUUUUUCCAGAGCGAAUUUUGAGUGCUUCAAUAUUCAAAGGAGCAGGAGGGAAGGGAGGAAAGAAAAAAAAAAAGGGAGGGUAGAUAAAUGAGACAAGUGAUUACAUUCUUUUGCACAUGAAAAGAAG